rnacentral:rRNA from 1 species
GGCGAACGGGUGAGUAACACGUAGGUAACCUGCCUUUCAGAUGGGGAUAACUGUUGGAAACGACAGCUAAUACCGAAUAGGUAAUCAAUUCGCAUGGGAUGAUUAUUAAAGACGCGUAUGCGUCACUGGAAGAUGGACCUGCGGUGCAUUAGUUAGUUGGUGAGGUAAUGGCUCACCAAGACGAUGAUGCAUAGCCGACCUGAGAGGGUGAACGGCCACAUUGGGACUGAGACACGGCCCAA